UACGGAGGGAGCUAGCGUUGUUCGGAAUUACUGGGCGUAAAGCGCGCGUAGGCGGCUUUGUAAGUUAGAGGUGAAAGCCCGGGGCUCAACCCCGGAACUGCCUUUAAGACUGCAUCGCUUGAAUCCGGGAGAGGUGAGUGGAAUUCCGAGUGUAGAGGUGAAAUUCGUAGAUAUUCGGAAGAACACCAGUGGCGAAGGCAGCGCGCUGGACCGGCAUUGACGCUGAGGUGCGAAAGCGUGGGGAGCAAACAGG
rnacentral:rRNA from 1 species